GGCACUGUGGUUUAGUGGUUAACACGUUUGUCUCUCACCUGCAGUGUUGGAGGUUCGAAUCCUGUCUGUGCACA